rnacentral:rRNA from 1 species
AUUUGAUCUCAAAUCAGGUAGGACUACCCGCUG